AUACGAUCCCCUGGAGAUCUUGUUAAAAUUCAGAUUCUGAUUCAGUCAGUCUUGGGUGGGGGGAACCUAAUAGUCUGCAUUUCUAACAAGCUCUCCAGGGAUGUCAAU
rnacentral:pre_miRNA from 1 species